GUCAGCGCCGCCAGCCAGCUAAAGCGGCCGGUGGAGGCGCCGAGUGGCGGGCCAUGGCGGUGGAGGGGGCUAGCAGGGCCAUGGCCCGCCACAGGCGCCGACUGGACACGGAGGCCGAGGAGUGACUCUCUUUGUGGAACUCACACCAUCUGGUCUUCACCUGACGGGCUGUGCAGUCGCCUCCGCCCGAAUGUGUAUUUUACAUAUCAAAUUGGACCAAUUGCAUUUCAAGAACUCAGAAGUCCCACGUUACCAUCAGACCAUGAGCUGUUGUAGGAGGAAACAGAAGAGAAAUCAAGAGCAGGAAUGGCUCAGUCAGCUGGAUCACCAAAAAGCCCACCUCCACAUGGGUGACAACUCAAGAAAACCCUGAAAACCUGGAGUAGACUACCUGCACGCAGUUCAGCAGACUGGAGACUGCCCGUCUUCUAGGUAGAGAGGUAGGUCUCUGCUUCUUCCAGACAGCUUAAGUUGGGCUGAGAGUGUCUCAGCAGUCCAUAAAGCAUGUGCUUGGGGAAGAAAGGGUUUAGUAACCUGGUCAGUUUGAAGGACUUUCUGAAACCCUUGAGUUGUUUACUUCCUGAGCUUAAGGAUCUUACCUGUAGGAUGGAAUGAUUCGCCUCCCCAUAGCAUGUCCAAUGUCUUGUUUCCCUCCAAAAUGGAAAGUUAAUCUGAGAGGAAACUGCUAUAAACAGGCUGAUAAUACAUAAUUUGAGAUUUCUAAUGUUUUGUUGAUUAUUGUUGUAAGAUAAUAAAGACCUAUUGAAUUUA